GACGAACGCUGGCGGCGUGCUUAACACAUGCAAGUCGAACGGAAAGGCCCUGCUUUUGUGGGGUGCUCGAGUGGCGAACGGGUGAGUAACACGUGAGUAACCUGCCCUUGACUUUGGGAUAACUUCAGGAAACUGGGGCUAAUACCGGAUAGGAGCUCCUGCUGCAUGGUGGGGGUUGGAAAGUUUCGGCGGUUGUGGAUGGACUCGCGGCUUAUCAGCUUGUUGGUGGGGUAGUGGCUUACCAGGGCAUUGACGGGUAGCCGGCCUGAGAGGGUGACCGGCCACAUUGGGACUGAGAUACGGCCCAGACUCCUACGGGAGGCAGCAGUGGGGAAUAUUGCACAAUGGGCGGAAGUCUGAUGCAGCAACGCCGGGUGCGGGAUGACGGCCUUCGGGUUGUAAACCGCUUUCGCCUGUGACGAAGCGUGAGUGACGGUAAUGGGUAAAGAAGCACCGGCUAACUACGUG
rnacentral:rRNA from 1 species